rnacentral:snRNA from 1 species
AGCCGCGCAGUGAGCACAAAGCGAACUAUUCUUUCGCCUUUUACUAAAGAAUACCGUGUGCUCGCUGCAGAUAGCGUCAUACGCUAAUUUUUGGAGGGCUGCCUUCUAGGUAAGCC